rnacentral:rRNA from 1 species
UACGUAGGGUGCGAGCGUUAAUCGGAAUUACUGGGCGUAAAGCGUGCGCAGGCGGCGCGUUAAGACAGGUGUGAAAGCCCCGAGCUUAACUUGGGAAUUGCGCUUGUGACUGGCGUGCUGGAGUGUGGCAGAGGGAGGUGGAAUUCCACGUGUAGCAGUGAAAUGCGCAGAGAUGUGGAGGAACACCGAUGGCGAAGGCAGCCUCCUGGGCCAGCACUGACGCUGGGGAGCGAAAGCCAGGGGAGCAAAAGGA